ensembl:snoRNA
AGCCUCAUUCUAGAUUAGAAUGGGGGUGUCCAAAACUGGUCAGUAUGGCUAAAAUUGAGACACAAUUCAUGCUUCCAUCACAAUAAAUGUAUUCCAGUGGUGACAAUGAGGCCUCUAACAUUC